UACGUAGGGUGCGAGCGUUAAUCGGAAUUACUGGGCGUAAAGCGUGCGCAGGCGGUGAUGUAAGACCGAUGUGAAAUCCCCCGGGCUUAACCUGGGAAUGGCCUUUGUGACUGCACGGCUAGAGUGUGUCAGAGGGGGGGUAGAAUUCCACGUGUAGCAGUGAAAUGCGUAGAGAUGUGGAGGAAUACCGAUGGCGAAGGCAGCCCCCUGGGAUAACACUGACGCUCAUGCACGAAAGCGUGGGGAGCAAACAGG
rnacentral:rRNA from 1 species